CCUACGGGGGGCUGCAGUGGGGAAUAUUGGACAAUGGGGGGAACCCUGAUCCAGCCAUGCCGCGUGUGUGAAGAAGGCCCUCGGGUUGUAAAGCACUUUCAGUGAGGAAGAACGCCUGGUGGUUAAUACCCAUCAGGAAAGACAUCACUCACAGAAGAAGCACCGGCUAACUCCGUGCCAGCAGCCGCGGUAAUACGGAGGGUGCGAGCGUUAAUCGGAAUUACUGGGCGUAAAGCGCGCGUAGGUGGCUUGAUAAGCCGGUUGUGAAAGCCCCGGGCUCAACCUGGGAACGGCAUCCGGAACUGUCAAGCUAGAGUGCAGGCGAGGAAGGUAGAAUUCCCGGUGUAGCGGUGAAAUGCGUAGAGAUCGGGAGGAAUACCAGUGGCGAAGGCGGCCUUCUGGACUGACACUGACACUGAGGUGCGAAAGCGUGGGUAGCAAACAGGAUUAGAUACCCCGGUAGUC
rnacentral:rRNA from 1 species